CUCCGGCCCCGCCCCCGCCCUACGGCCGAGCUCCGCCCACGAGCGGCCAGCGGCAGACGGGCGCCGGCGGAGGUGGGGCCCUUGGAGUUUGCUUUGCUGAAAAGAACUGUGAAGCCCUUCAGAGGAGGAAUUAUGUUUUCCAACUGUCUCGAAGACUCUUAGGAAAGUCUAUAGGUUUUCUAUUGAUUCUCCCUUUAGAGACUGGACACAGAGUUGAUUGUAAUUGUAAUUGUAGCCAGGUGUGGGGGUGCCAGAGCAGGGUUCCCAAACAGACCAAGUUCAGCUGCUCACCACGGGAUGAAUGGAGGUGAAACCAGAAAGGAAUUUAGGUCAGUGAGGCUGCAGACAGCAGACUAACGUCGGUCUCAAAGACGGUCUCCAAAGUGCCGAAAAUACUUUCACGUUUACAGAAGGAAAAUGUGGGUCAGUGAGUACGUGCAGGGAGGCAGUGAAGGUCAAGUCCACCUUGUCUUGGGGUCACAUGCAGUCUGUGGCUCAGGGCAGUUCUUUUGGUUUGGGUAGUUUCCAGUUAUUGCAGGCGGCUUUGCCCGUAGGGUCUUUGGCCUGAGUUAAGAGAUAAGAAUCAGAAAGUUCCACAAUCUCCUCCUUUGGUUUCAUUUGCUAGAGCGGCUCACAGAACUCAAAGAAGCAUUUUCCUUACAGCCCACUGGUUUUCUACUAAAGGAUGUAACUCAUGAAUGGCCAGAUGGAAGAGGUGCAUAAGGUGAACUGUGGGGAAAGGGUUCAGAGUUUCCAUGCCCUCUCCAGGCGCACUACUUUCUUCAAACCUCCACAUCUCCAGCAACCCAGAGGCUCUCCAACCCUGCCCUUUUGGAAGCUUCAUUACACAGCUUCCGUGGAUCUGGAGUCCCUCUGAUCUCUUCUGCCUUUGCCCUGCCGAUGACAGAUCACCUUGUGCCACGUGCAGCAGGACUGGUCCAAUCACUCAACUCUUAAAAGGAAGGUCCAUGGGAAUGUCUCUUCUCAUUCUCAUACUCUACUGAGCUAUAAGGCCACAAAAAUUUGGUUGUGUAAUUUUGGUAUUAACAGAGAUAAGUCGUGUUUACACUAAAAACAGUAUCACUAUUUGCCAUCAGUACAUCCAAGCUGUUUUCAGAGACUGGCCUGUUCCUAUGUUUUUAUCUAAAUGUGACUGUGGGUCAGGGAGAGCUAAACUGGGGAGAAUGAAACCGUUUUUGUGGGGUUUUCCACCUACUACAGGGCACAAUUCCAACCACUCUAGGAGCCAUGGCACCGUUUCGAUUUUCCAAACAAUCUUGACAGUCCCCAGCAGGUGUCUCUUGUGCGCUAACAAAGGCAAUCAUCUCAAAGUUCGCACGGGUCAGCCAUGUUGCUUCUGCUUCUGGCUUUGGGCAAAGUCCACAUCCGGGGCUCUCAUUUUAUCCCCUGAGCCCUUAGGCCUAAUGAGAUUCACUUGAAACCAUGUAAAGUCAACCCCUCACUGGAGUUGAAGGCACAUCUUUGGGUUACAGCCAUUUGCUCCUAGAGAUUGCACAGUUGAGUUGGAAUGCUAUAACUUAGGCAAUAAAGAUAUUACAUGGAUCAGAGAAAAGUAUGGAUGCUGGGACACACGUGAGGUUGUUAAUUUGGUUUAUCUUGGGUAUGAAGGAAAAGAAGAGAGGCAAACCCCAGGAAAAAAAUGAAAGUAGAAGGAAACAGUACCAAAAACAAAACAAGCAAACCAACCAACCAAACAAACAAACAAAAAAAAACAAACAAAAAGUUCCUCAUUCAAACCCCAAAAUGUAUAUAAUGUCUUUUAUAUGAAAUUAUAUUUAUUUACAUGCACAUGCAUUGAAAAAUUGGGAAAUGGUUAGAUGGAUUGGUCUCAGCUGAUUUUUAGCAAUACUCAUGCUUUUUGUAACAAAAUCUUUUGACAAAAACAAAGACAAAAUCCACGAUUAUGUGUAGAUACAUUGUAGGUGUAGAUGAAAGCAAGGAGAAAGGAAUGGAAUGAUACAAAUGUGUACUAGUAUGCGAUCGCUGCUGUAACAAAGUACCACACAUGGUCCUAACAACAGAAAUUCAUGUUUUCACAAUCUGAAAGCUGAAAGUCUAAGACCAAGGUGUUGGCAGGAUUCAUUUUUUUCUGAGAUCUCCUUCUUUGCCUGGCAGAUGGUUGUGUUUUCCCCAGACCUUCACAUGGUCUUCCCUUUGUGUGUUUAUCCUAAUCUCUUCGUAUAAAGACCCCAAUUGUAUUGGUUUAGGGCCCACCCAUAUGACCUCAUUUUGCCUCAAUUACCUUUUUAAAGAUCCCAUUUCCAAAUAUAGUCACAUUCUGAGAUAUUGAAACUUAGGACCUCAGCCUGUCAAUUUGGGGGAGACACAUUUUAACCCAUAGCAUCAUCCCACUGUUAAUAUUGGAUAUAUCAGAGGACAGGACGAGAAGGAAUAUAGAAGAAGCUGAUUAUCUCUGUCUUAUGUAUCUUUUUACUAUUCUCGUGUUUCAACAAGCAUCUACUCCUUUCCUAGUUUGACAAAUACUAAACUGGUGUAAUCCAUAAAGGAGUUUACCGGCUUGCAAGACAGAAAAGUUCAGCAAUUGUGCUUCAGGCAGUUUGACCCAGGGGUUUCUGGUAUCAUCAGGGCAAUUCUCUGAACUCUGCCGUUUUCUAUAUGUUGCUUUGCCCUCCACAUGCCACCUUGUAUUGUUCAUUCUUUAUCUUAUGGAAGCAAUGUUUGCUACAAGAGUUCUGGAACAUACAGCUUCAACCUGGAUAUCCACAGGAAAUUGAUUCCUUUUCUUUUAGCUCCUUUGGAAAAGAGAGGCACUUCUUGCCCAGAAGCGUCAACAAAUAUUUCUUCCUGCCCUGCUAGUUUGAACUAAGUCACAUGUUCUACUGAAAACCAGUGUUGGUGAUCAAAGAUUCACAUGCUGAUUGCUUACGUCUAUUUAGACACGGCUCCUAGAGCUGUAGGUAGUAUCAAUCCUGUCCAGUACUGGUGAAAUUGGAGGGUGGGUAGGACUCCAGUGGAAAAUCUGUGUUCUUUUGGUGUGUGUGGAAGGUGCACGAAAACAACCAACCAAAGCCUGCUAUGACUCACCAGGGUCUCCACCGAGGUCUCUCAAGUUCUGUUCCCAUCUCAACUUUCAGGUCCAGAAACCCUUCAACCCAGCCCCCAUGUUUCUCACCUCUGAGUUUAUUCACUUCACGGUUAACAAAAAUCUCCCCUUAGAAUGUAGGUUUCUGCAGGGCAUGCGUUUCCACAGCACUGAGCAUAGUGAUUGGCAUUUUAAAGGCGUUUGUGGAAUAGAUGAACACACAGGUGCUGAGUGUGAGCUGUGUGCUAGACGAUUCUAAACACAGAGGAUCUGGUGAUGAAAACCCUGUGUCCCUGUUUUCCUGGAGUUUACAUUCCAGUGGAGGGAGCAAUACACAAAUAAAUAUGUCAUCAGGCUAGUCGUAUGUGCUAUGAAGAGAAGUGUGGGUCGGAAUAGACUGUGACGGGGAGACAGAAGGGCGCCAUUUUAUUUUAUUUCCUGGUUUUAUUUCACUAUGAUUGACAAAUAAAAACUGUCUCUAUUUAGAUCAUA